ACUAAGUUCAAUUUUCGUAUCGUUUAUAUGCCUUACGGAAAACCGACCUUUUCCGGAAUCGACUUUUGUUUUAUCACCGGAAAUGAUUUUGAAAUUUGAAUUUCGAAACGAACACAGGAUAUUAACAAAGAGAGCCAAGAAAAUUGUUUGUUACGCGAUAUAUACUCACUUGGAGCUAAAAGAAAAGCCACAAAGGACAAGUUCAAUAUGCAGGUUUACAAUUUGGAAGUGGCGCAGGUUCUUUGAAAUGUCUACAACCUUUCAGGAGAAUUUUUUUUUGAAAAGCAUGGCACAGCAAGAAAAAGAUAUAAGACACUACAAGACAUUGCAAGUGAUUUUGAAUAAGACAAUUGAUUGACUUUUUCAAUGUAUUCUUAAAUAAAUCUAAUAGUUGAUGUAAA